GACAUGCAUGAGCAAGAGUAACACUGACUAUUCCCAAAUUCAAUAUAAUUUUGAGGGUUUUUGUUGAAAUUCGAGGUAUAUUGAUUUAGAUCUUAAAUCGAAGAAUCAUGAUGCAGGAAUAUUGUUUUUGAUGUUGUAUGGGGUUUUUUUUAUUUUGAUGCUGUAAUUUUUUUUUUUUGAUUUGUAUUGUAAAUUUUUUUUUUUUUUAUUUAUAUGUUGUAAUUGAUCAAUUUUAUUGAUUUAUAUUGUAAAUAAAAUUUCGAUUAUAUA